AGUUAAAGGGAAGGUCGCUACAUAUGUUGAUUGCAGUCCAACUGCAGCACCAAUUUUUGAGGUGCUGGAAUUUCCCUUUCAUCUUUAGUAGUUGUCGAAGGAAGGAUUUGUUGGGAUCUUUACAUUGAUGGCCUUGUUAUUAGUUCAGGUGGAAAUAUGCUAGAUGCCCUACAUGCUGCUGUUAAGGCAUCCCAAGGGUUCAUGUUGCAGCCGGUGCCUCAGGUGAUGAGGAACCAGAGGUUGACAUAAGCGAUGACAAAUUGUUGCAAUUUGACAGACCUGGGUUCCCUGUAAUAAUUACAUUGACAAAGGUGACAUAAAUUUAUUUAUCAG